GUUCUUAGUUCGUGGAAUGAUUUGUCUGGUNAAUUCCGUUAACGAACGUGACUCAAAUACAUUAAAUAGAUUCCUAUCCAGAUAAGUAAACUGUUAAUGCUUGCCUAUGGUAUGCUUUCGGGUGUGCCAUUGGGUAAGUGGAGGUUUACCUGAUAGUUUGUCAACUGUCAAAGGUUGACUUUGAUCUGCUUAAUGAGACAAAUUGUGUUUAGCAAAAUGAGAUUGAGCAAUAACAGGUCCGUGAUGCCCUUAGAUGUCCUGGGUUGCACGCGCGCUACAAUGAGACCAUCAACGUGAUACCUGAUCUGAAAGGAUUGGGAAAUCACUUAAAUGUGCUCUUAGUUGGGAUUGUGGAUUGUAAUUAUUCACAUGAACCUGGAAUUCCCAGUAAAUGCUAGUCAUCAGCUAGCGUUGACUAAGUCCCUGCCCUUUGUACACACCGCCCGUCGCUAUUACCGAUUGGUUAUUUAGUGAGGUCUCCGGAGGUAAUCGCCGAAGAUAUUUAGGUAUCACUAGGUUGUUUUGCCAAAGUUGACCGAACUUGAUGAUUGAGAGGAAAUAAAAGUCGUAACAAGGUUUCCGUAGGUGAACCUGCGGAAGGAUCAUUACUAUACUUAUUUCCACCAANUAAAACAAAGAGUUGAAUAAUAAUAUCCCAUCCAGUAUUGUCGAAAGG
rnacentral:rRNA from 1 species